rnacentral:lncRNA from 1 species
GUGAGGGCUCGGGACACUGCCCAGCUCCUGCUUCUCAGCACAGAGAAGCAAAAGACACUCUAGGACUACUCAGAAAUGCUAUUCACAUGUCGCACACCCACAGUCCCUGGUCCCCCAUGGCACAGCCUACAGGGCCACCUUGUCCUCUUCUCCAGGCUCCUGAACACUACUCAUGAGGCCCUCCGUGAAGACCAAACCUCUGAUAACCCAAAAGUCACUUCUCCCUCCCCUUCCUGGGUAGGGAGACCACAUCAUAGAUCCAGAUGGUCCAGUGUUCACCUGUUUCCUGCCUCCCUGCACAGCCAGCAAGGGGACACAGGCUGGCACUCGGGCCAAGCUCUCUGGGAAUUCUGGCUUCAUGAAUGGGCAUAUCCUUGUGCUUCACUCUCAUGCCACCAAGUGUAAGUGCCAGGAGGGACAGCUUGGAGAGAUACGUGGCUGAGUGUGCACCCUCGGAUGUUGCCUGGCAUAUGGGAUCGAACUCAGGACCUUGCAUUUGCAAGACAGGCGCGGCGCCACUGAGCUAAAUCCCCAGCCUUCAUUUACUUACUUUUGAGGUUCGUUUUCUGUUCUCUGACCUGUCCUGGUAGACUGCAUUUUCCAAAGAUGCUAGGAUACAUGCUCUUCCUCGGUGUGACCUGCAUAAGGAAGUAAGUGUCUCUGCCCCGCUACCUGACCGGGAGGACAGGAGCAGCUUCUGACGCACUUCUGCCUUGCUCUCUAGAUAUUCAUCCAGGAUCCAGGAGGUGCCAUGGUGGGAGGAAGCUACAGGAGCAGUCCAGAGCCUGCCUGUCCCACAGGCUUGGCCAUGCCGUGCCAUGCCAUGGCUCUCCACCCCAACCACUGGUCCUCCCAGCUGUCCCCAGAUUCCCAGAACAGAUUCCCCCCUUGGAUAACCCAUGCUGUAUUAGGCUACCAAGCUCCAGCAGCUUGUUCCUCAUCAAGGGAUCUCUAGCCACCUAUCUGGCAGAAUCACAGGCAGCCUGGCACACAGUAGGUACUCAGUAAAGGUUUGUGGAGUACAUUUAAUCACCAAGCCACAUGCGUAGUCCCCAUGGAGUUCUGCGAGUGCAGGAAGUAGAUGUGAGAAGCCCUAGGAAGGUGUUGGGUACUUGGGAAUCAGCUUCAGUGUGCUGCUUCUGGCAGGAUACCCCCAACACACACACACACACACACACACACACUCACUCACUCACUGCCCCAACUCCCUACCAAGGCCUGACAGGAAUACUCCCUGGUCCUCCAGGGGCCAUCCAGGCCUGGGGUUGGCUCUGGCCUGGGACUCCAGGAGUCGUCCUGCUCACUCUGCAGGGUGGUAGGGUGGCAAAAGGUACUGGCUAGACAGAGAGCCCUUCGAAGCCUUUAGCCAGGUAUCAGGCACCUUUCCUGUCUGCCCUGGCUGGGACUAACAAACGAGAAGGGUGUUAUACCUGGCAGAGACCAGGAGACAGGGACAGGCCAAGUCCUUGGGAGGCCUGGACUCCUAUGAUGAGGACUAGAGCUGGGGGUGGGGGUGGGGGUGUCCACCCAAAGAACUUCUAGAAAGCCAGGUGGAUCUGCUAGCCUCAGAAACCAAGUCCAGGACCUUGGAGAUGCCUGGUCUGGGAUGUGGGGGCUCUUGCUGGGCUCCAGGGAGCCCUGUGAUGUUCUUGCAUCUCCAGGUCUGAGCACAGCCCUGCUUAGACCUUCCAGCAGGUAUCCUGGUCAUUCUUCUCACUGCUGGCCAGUAGAGUGGAUGGAGGAUGUGGCUGGCUUUCCAGACUGCUCUGCACCUGCUGCUCCACCUCCUACAAAGCCCUUGCCCUGCCCCUGCCACUCUUGAGGGAAUGAAUGAGUGACAGACAUGUGAGGUACCAAUCUGUAUGCAAAGGAAUCAGAGAGGGGUGGCUGGCUCUAGGCCCAGACACAGGUUAUAGCCAUGGUCCAGGGGAGCUGUCCCAGCUUCAUGGGGACUGAGCACUCAGCCUGGAGAAAUGCUGGGGUGGGUGGAUUGGGCAGGCAGGCCCCUCUCUGAACACAGGUGGAUUAAAGGAUUCACCACCUGCCCUAGUGUCUAGCCAUCCCUGUGAUCUCAAGUCCUAGCACCCGUGGGGGCCUUAGCUCUACCACCUGCUGCAAGUCAUUUUGGACAAGGCUUGUUACUGUUCAGGGGCUCUGCUUUCUUAUCUGUAGAAUGGGCACAAUUACACCAAGAGUUUGGUUGUGAGUUGUAGGCGACAUCACUGUCCCCAGAGUCCUGAGAUCUGUCUCAUGAAAGUGAGGGCAGGGACCACAAAGCCUCCUUCAGGGACAAGCUGGGGAAGAGGGUCCUCAGGCUCUCCUGACCUUCAUAGAAAGGCCUGGCCUUCCCAGUCCCGACCCCAGCCCUGCCCAGAGCAGGGAGGGUGAGCAGGGCUGGGGACAUGGUGAGAAGUAGUUGCUCACCCCUCACUGCCUGGAAUUUUUAUUAUAAAGUAAUAGACACUUGUGAAGUGAACAAGAAAACUGCUGAAGAUGAUUCCGAUUCCGCCGGCCCGGCCAGCCCCUGGGACAUCAGGGCACUUCCAAUUGUCCCUGUGCACAGGUGAUUACAUUUAUGUUGAAUUUUUUAAUUGUCAAAGUUGUACUAACAGCAAUACAGAAAAAAGACCCACUUGGGGUCACCCCACAGUCGCUCUCCUUGCCCCCGUUGCUCCUUGCUUGCUGCUCCAGAUGGCUUCCAGCAUGUGUGAAGCCCCGGGCAGAGGAAAUCAGCUUCAGGUCAGCCCCUCUCCCCGGGCCCCAAGUGCCUGGAACUCAUCAGGCGAUGUGAAACGGGGAGGGUGGGCAAGGCAGCCUGAGAUUCCUCCCGGGUCUGGGAGCUCUCUGGCCAUGCCCCGACUCUCUGCCUGCCACACUUCUGCGCCUUCUAUACCGCUUGAACCCCGCGUCCGGGUACCCUCAAACGGGCACCCCGCACCUCUACCCCUGGUCCUUCGCACCCUCGCCCCACGAAGCGGCCCGCACGCGUCCCUCCCCGCCUGCACCGCGCGCUCAGAGCCCUGAGUGUCCUGUGGUGCGUCCCGCAGCCCUAGGUGCCAGCAACUUUGUUGACUGAAUUCCUGAACUCGCCCGAGCCGCGGGGCUAAAAAUAGCCGGCCCUCGGCCCGCCGCGCCCCUGGGCCGGGCAGUGUCACCCAGUGUCAUGAUGCCCGGAGGUCCCCGCGCUCAGGCGCGCCUUGCCAGCUGAGCCGGACGCAGUUCUGGGCAGACCGGGCCGGGCGCCGGGCCCAGAGGAGGCUGAGGGGUUCGGCUUGGAUGGGUGGCCUCAAAGGGACCGAGACAUCAAGGGGGUCUCCUGGGCGCAACCCUCCUCUGCUUCCCUGGACUUCCCAGACACCUGGUCCUAGAUCUGGAUAUGAGGCCUCCGGAGGUCUCCGUCUGCCGCUGGGUCCCGCGCCCGCCACCCGUGCAGUGCUCCACGGCGGCCACCAGGGGGCCCUCCCUACUCUUAUCGCCAGUGGCCUGUCCCCACCCCUUCCCACAGCUGUUUCCCGCAGGAGAUUGACAGCUGGGCUCGGGUUGCCAUGGGGAUAGCCAAAUAAGGGCGGUAGGGCUGAGGCUCUGAUUGGCCCAGGGGCGCGAGCUCCCUCCCG